UAGAGCUUCUGGGAAGAGUCAAGGGUUGGCUGCUGAAAAUUGGAUGCACUGAGAAGUGGUUCUUGUUCCUCCCACUUACUUUGCGUGGGGCUGAGAAGAAAGGCACAAGUCUCAGCUCUGGAUGGAGAGGCCCAUUGGGAGGCUAGGUCUCUGUGCCGCCCGGCAGCCUGGUCACCUAGGUGACCGGUGGGCCGGAGGACUCCAGCUGCCGGAGCUGAGCGGCUGCCUAGGGUGAGGAGACUGAGUUCGGAGAUGAUGCCAGCCGUUGCCUACCCAUGUCGGAUCCCGCAGACGCCCACCGUUCUUGAUUCAGUACACUCUUAGCAGUAUGUCUUUCCUCUAUGGCACCUUCUCCUGAGUUCCUUGUUCGCAGCUUCCAGGACCUUGACAAAUGCUCAAGGUCAAGGUUCCCAGGGAUAAAUCCCAGUGUUUACCUCAA